rnacentral:rRNA from 1 species
UACGUAGGGUGCGAGCGUUAAUCGGAAUUACUGGGCGUAAAGGGUGCGCAGGCGGUCUGUCAAGUCGGAUGUGAAAUCCCCGGGCUCAACCUGGGAACUGCAUUCGAAACUGGCAGGCUAGAGUCUUGUAGAGGGGGGUAGAAUUCCAGGUGUAGCGGUGAAAUGCGUAGAUAUCGGAAGGAACGCCGGUGGCGAAAGCGACGUGCUGGACCUCUUCUGACGCUGAGGCGCGAAAGCUAGGGGAGCGAACGGG